GGAGGAGGAGGAGGAGGAGCGCAGACUAACGAAAGCAUUUCCACUGGAGGGAGAAACAACUGAUGAAGAGGAGGAGAGAGGACACGUGCAUGCUUUUUUUGAAUACAAGCACCUCGACUCUGUCAUCGUCUUAUAACAAUGACGAAAACAUAAUUCAACAUAAUAAGAACAUUUUUGUAAAGAAAAACAGGAAAAGAAUAAAAAUCUCUGUAGACGUGUUUAAAAGGUCCUGCAGGUUUCCAACUGGAGAGCUGCUCUGUUUACAACAAAUUACCCUUAUUUUAUAUCCAAUCGUCUUCUCUUAUCAACGCGGCCCAAGCGAUUCGGCAGAGGAUCAAAGCAGACUCGGAAAGAGUUCGUUUCGGUAAACAACCCCACCCCCCAAAAAUCCAUUCUUCUAGGAUGAUGUGGCACCAAGAAGCCCACGAAGGCACAACCCAGGGACGAGGCCACUGUGCUGACUGCACACACCCAACACUGCACAGAUAAGGAUUGCAAUGUAAGAUAGCGUGCUUCCUGCUCUGACUCUCUGUAUGCAUGCAUCGCAGAGUACCACGGAGUACCUGUUCCAUACAGCACUGAAUAGACUUUGCACUGAACUGUUGAAUCCCAGCUGUGAGCCUGCGACACACCCAGAACCAGAACCAGAACCAAAACCGAGCCGUCCAACAACAACAAACCUUCAGCUGCAUUUCUUCUUCCCUCGCAGGCGUCGACCGCAACGCGUUGAGGAUUAAAAACUGCUACUAUGAAUGUAAUGGAAGACGGAGGACGGUGCAUAAAUCUUUAGACAUCAUGAGGAGGGAUUCACUGCUGGCUCACUUAGACCAACACACACACACACACACACACACGCACGCACGCACACACACACACACACCGAAGGAAAUAUCUAAAUUGUAACCAGCAAUAGGCAGACAAACACUGGACCUCCAACAGACCAGUGUUGGCUGUCGCAUCGAUGUAAAUAGAGUAAAUAGAAAUUGCCUCUCACUCACAGUCACAACUGUUUUAUUACAGUUUGAUUUCUUUAUUUUUCUACGCCUCUUGAGUCCCAUUUUAUUUAGGGAUUGCGCUCAAGCUUUGCAAUUUUUUUUAAAUGUGCACACACACACACAUUCACACACAAAGAAUAACGAAACGUUUUAGCGAACCCAAACGAGUCCAUCAGCGAGUGGGGAAGCAAACAUAAAAAGCAUCUGGUUGAAGUCAAUCAGCCAAUCAGGUAACAGAACUGAAGCCUGGGACUGAACAGAUUGGUGUCUUCCUGCUCAUCGUUACUACUGUGAAGCAGCUGCCUGGAGUGUGAGAGUGACGCUGAUGAUGUUCGAGGAGCAUGUUUUACUUUUAUUUUCUUUCCUUUUUCCUUGCAUCUAAGGAAAAGUUUGUGUUUCCCAGCGAUUUUGGGUAUUUUAACAGCAGCGUCGGACUUUCUGUGCAUGACUCACUGAGCGACUCUUACGGUGUUGGGCAUCUGUCUCCCCCCUGUUGGGGAGCACCUUCUCUCACUCUGAUGAUUGUGUGAGAAAUUUUGAAGACAACAGCAGAAAAAUCAUGACUUAUUGACUUGAAUGAAUUUAUUUAUGGAUUGCUUCUUUAUGCAAUGAUGGGGACGAUGUUUAUUUUUCUACUGACUGGUUGAAAUCCCUUCCAAUACGAGGUGGAACAGGUGUCAUGGAUGUAAAGAGGUUUGUUCUGGUCUGGUUUUGAGCAUUUUGCACACAGAAAAGACACCUCUGCCAGUUUGGUAGCUCUUGGUGAAAUAAAGAAUCCAUCGUCUCAUUUAUUUUACCUUAAAGGGGACAUAUUAUGCUAAACUCACCUUUUGCGGCCUUUUGUGCUGCCGUGUGGAUCUCUACUGCCUCUAUAAACACUCAAAAAACCAUCUAUUUGCUUUCUGUCUGUGUUUGGUUUUAGGAAUUAUGCGCCUAAAACAAGCCAUUUCAUAAAGUCCCCACUCUACUCCAAGCCCCUCCCAGAUAUCAGAGCUUCUCAGCUUAUAGCAGCCCGAGUGAUGGAUAGGUGGGCGGGGCCAGCUCUAGCUUGUUUUCUUCAAGUGACAGAGCCUUGAAAUGACUCAUUCUGGAAGGUAUAGAAAAUUAAACUGGUGAAAUUGCUUCAUGUUAGAGGGAUUUUGUGCAAAGAACUAAAUAAAUAUGUUUUAGACCAUAGAACUAUUAUAACUUAAAGCAACACUAGGGAGUUUUACUUUAAGCUAUUGCUUUCAAGCUAGUUUCAGUGGUUCUUCCAAACUGGCAUGGGGCAGCCCUCUGCUGGCCAGAAACUGCACCAAACAACUUUGGUGGUUUGGGUAGGUACACUAGGAGGAGUCGACCUGCUUUAAUGCUUUACUGUGCCUGUAACUUCUAUAAAGGCUAGCAGUUAGCUUUUUUUCUUUGUCAACCAUCAAUUAAAUGAGCAAAAACAAGUUUGCUUUAUUGUUGACAUCAUGUCGGAGCCUUUAAAUAAAAGUUUAAGAGUAAUGUCUCUGGAGGCAAAGCGAAGACAGCGUGAACGAGACAAACACAGAGCUGAAACCAUGAGCAUCAGCCUACGCUCGUUGGAUUCAGAUUCAAACCAUCUGAAAAAGUAGCAAGCAAAGUCUUAACAUUUUUAUUUGUUUCUGAACUUCCAAUAAUCACACAUUAAAACAUACAAAACAAAACCUGAUGACAGUAUCUGCAAAGCCUGCUGCAGGGUUGUUUACCACAGUUGUAAUACCGCUUUGAACCAGUAGGGGGGGGGGGUAGCUGGAAACUUAUUAAGUGUUGCUUUAAGAAAAAGGUCAUAAGAUGUCUCCUUUAAGAAAUCAUGCUGCGACUCUACGGCCGGGACAUACUUGCUUUUUAACCUUGCGUUGACACGUUGACGUGUCUUGUUCACUUGCUGCUGCGCUGCAUGUAGUCCUGGAGUACUCCACUAGGAGGCACAGUAGAGAACUCUGGCUGGAUAAAGUCACGGGUUUGUAAGGAAAAACCAGAAUAAACAUGGCGUCAAUAGAUGAGAUCAGUAACUGGUUCAUUUUGAAACCAGGGCAAAAAAAAAAAAAAAAAGACUGCGUUCCAGAGACGGCGUGACAAUGACGAGUAUUUCUGGCUUGUUUUGUCAACUCCCUCUACUGGUUACUCGCAAAUUGCAACUUCUGAACAUGAAAGGAUGUGCACAAAUGACGCUUUGAACAAACGCAAGUUAUGCAAGGCAGCCGUGAUAAACGUGUACGCGAAAUUACAAGCAAGUAUAUUCCGGCCCUAAAAGGUCAUAAAAACAACUAAAAUAUGCUCAAAACCAAGAAAAACUAAAUCUCGGUACUUGAUGACACGUGUUCAUUUAUUUAUUGAGCUUGGUCGGGAGAAAUAAACCUGUACAGAGUCUAUCAUUUUAUGUAGAUAAAACCCUUCUGGGAGCAGUCUUUUUUCCUUUAGGAGUCAGAGACGUAGUGGAAAGAUUGAUCAUUCAUAUUUGUUAAAGAGUAAGUCACCCCCAAAUCAACUUUUUUUCUGAUAAACUGCUUAAAUGCGUGUCUAAUCGUGCUGCAGACACGUGUAGUCAAUAGUUUUGCAUUUUAGUUAAAAUUUUCAUUUUCUGCUGAAAACUGUCAGUGUUGUGCCGUUGUCAGGUAAAAACUCUGCACUGCAGUUGAAUUUAAAUCUGCCAUCGCUAUUGGCUAAGAGGUACCCUAGAAUGUUAGCUGGUACGAUAUGAUGUCACAAUGUCAUUGUAAGCCUGUGUGUGUGUAUUUGUUGGCGGCUCCGCCCUCUCGGUCUGCUAGGCUACAGCAUUUGUUGCAUUUUUCAAACAGGAAGUGGGAGUGGAGUAAUAGUCUGAUGGGGGUGACUUGCUCUUUAAAGUUGAAAGCAUCACAGCUUGUUUGGGCUCGACUGUUUAGUAGAAAAAGGUCUCAUUUCACAGGCAAGCACGCAGAAAAGACACCGUUUGGGUUAGCUUUGUUUAUGUUGCAUUUCAUGGAUUUUUUUUUAAUGUUUGCCUGAAUCUCAAUGAAUGAAUAAACUAAUAACAUGAAGCCAAAUAUAUUUCCGUGGAUGUGACGGUUCAUCUAUUGUGUCCUGAUCAUAAAGCUUUUCCUUUUUUUUUCCCCGUGUGUGUAAUUUUACUGCCAUCUUCUAAAAGGUGUCUGCAGGCACGGCCGUACAAGUCUGCCUCUGGUCCUCUGCCUUUCUCUUUUCCUCUGUCUGUCCUGCAUACUUGUAUCCGUCCGUACGUCUGUUUGUGUACAGUAAACUUGUCUCCUGUCCUUUUAUUUUUUCAUUAUUUUUUUAGGAAGAAUCACUGCCUGAAUUAACUUUUUAAAAACAUAAGUCAAAGGGGGGUUUGAAGCCCUUAAAUAAGUGACAUACAUAAAAUUUGUGGCAAAAUAUAAGAAACUGCUGUAUAAAAUGCUGUAAAAUCAGAUGGCUUCUGUAAAACUGCAUACAACUGGAUUUAAACGAGGCAGUGUGACUGAAAACACACCUAUGCAUGCUUGUUGGAUGGUUGUCACCGGCUGGUUCUUCUAUGUGGUUUUCCCUCUCUCUCUCUCUCUCUCUCUCUCUCUCUGCACGAUGGAGCCUUCUUCACUCCCUCCAGCUCUUUUAUCUGUCUCCUCUUCCUUUUUUUCUGGUGGAGAAAGAGCAAAUAAACCAACAAACUGCU